rnacentral:rRNA from 1 species
GUAGUCUCGCACAGAUGCAUAUCAAUAAGCGGAGGAAAAGAAACUAACAAGGAUUCCCUCAGUAACGGCGAGUGAAGCGGGAAGAGCUCAAAUUUGAAAUCUUGAAAGGUCACCUUUCACGAAUUGUAGUUUAAAGAAGUGUUUUCUGUUACGAUCGUAAUAUAAGUUCUUUGGAAUAGGACAUCACAGAGGGUGAGAAUCCCGUCUAUGAUUGCGAUUUGUAGCUUUGUGAUACACUUUCAAAGAGUCGGGUUGUUUGGGAAUGCAGCCCAAAAUGGGUGGUAAAUUUCAUCUAAAGCUAAAUAUUGGCGAGAGACCGAUAGCGAACAAGUACCGUGAGGGAAAGAUGAAAAGAACUUUGAAAAGAGAGUUAAACAGUACGUGAAAUUGUCAAAAGGGAAGCGUUUGACACCAGUGUUGUUUUCUCUAAAAUCAAUUAAAAAGAGUUAGAUUUUGUUGUGUAUUGACCUUAACAGCUUGCAUUUCAAUUUUCUUGCUUUUUUUAAUGCACUUUUCGUUUAACAAGUCAACAUCAGUUUCUUUUGUUGUAAAAAGGUCAUUGGAAGGUGGCUUUCUUUUCGGAGAAAGUGUUUAUAGCCUUUGACUCCUGCAAUCGGAGAGACUGAGGUCUGCAGCGUAGAUCCUUCGGGGUUAGAUACAUUUGUGCUAAGUUAUAGCUUUUUAUAGACAACUUGUUGACUAUGAUUAGUCUUGUAGCUUACUCGCUUAUGCUAUUUUACCUACGCUUAGGAUGUUGAAGAUGUAGCACAUCAU